rnacentral:rRNA from 1 species
AUUGAACGCUGGCGGCAGGCCUCACACAUGCAAGUCGCACGAGUGGCGGACGGGUGAGUAAUGUCUGGGAAACUGCCUGAUGGCGGGGGAUAACUACUGGAAACGGUAGCUAAUACCGCAUACCAUCGGAUGUGCCCAGAUGGGAUUAGCUAGUAGGUGGGGUAAAGGCUCACCUAGGCGACGAUCCCUAGCUGGUCUGAGAGGAUGACCAGCCAUACUGGAACUGAUACACGGUCCAGACUCCUACGGGAGGCAGCAGUGGGUAAUAUUGCACAAUGGGCGCAAGCCUGAUUGAGCCAUGCCGCGUGUAUGAAGAAGGCCUUCGGGUUGUAAAGUACUUUCAGCGGGGAGGCGUUACCCGCAGAAGAAGCACCGGCUAACUCCGUGCCAGCAGCCGCGGUAGUUC